GACGAACGCUGGCGGCGUGCUUAACACAUGCAAGUCGAACGGUGAACUCCGCUUGCGGGGGGAUCAGUGGCGAACGGGUGAGUAACACGUGGGCAACCUGCCCUCAGCUCUGGGAUAACUCCAAGAAAUUGGGGCUAAUACCGGAUAUGACCGCUGACCGCAUGGUCUGGUGGUGGAAAGAUUUAUCGGCUGGGGAUGGGCCCGCGGCCUAUCAGCUUGUUGGUGGGGUAGAGGCCUACCAAGGCGACGACGGGUAGCCGGCCUGAGAGGGUGACCGGCCACACUGGGACUGAGACACGGCCCAGACUCCUACGGGAGGCAGCAGUGGGGAAUAUUGCGCAAUGGGCGAAAGCCUGACGCAGCGACGCCGCGUGGGGGAUGACGGCCUUCGGGUUGUAAACCUCUUUCAGCAGGGACGAAGCGAAAGUGACGGUACCUGCAGAAGAAGCACCGGCCAACUACGUG
rnacentral:rRNA from 1 species